AUUACUUUUGGUUGAGUCUCAAAUAGAUGCCGUUCAAAGUUCAAAUCAUUUCCUCCAGAACACCAUUAAUAUUUUCCAAUAUAAAUAACUGAUUUCAGUGCUGACAUUUCGCCAAUGCCAAUAACAAUCUUUGAGUAGAAUGACAAAAAUGUUGCUAAUUACCUGUAAGAGUCAAUUUCAGAGUCAAAAACCAUAAAAGUGUAACUCAUAAAUAGCGCAUGUCUACUCAUUUUUUAGUUAACAAUACAUUCCUGGUAUGUUAUGUCAUGUACUUUAACUAAGUUAUAUGUUUAAAAAUAUACGUCAAAUAUAUCGAUAA